UCAGGAUUCUGUAGGCGCAUUCUUGGUUGCUCGUGGGUAAUCAUAAAUGUGCAAAUCUUACAUAUCUGUUGUGUUAAUGUUGUGUGAUCUGGCCAUUAAUCCAUAGUAAAAAAGAACAUCAAAUUUUCAAAAUCACACCUGCCAUGAUUUUAAUGAGAUUCAAUGCUUGGAGGUUAUAAAUAUAGAUCCCCUCUUCUCAAAAAUCAAACGCCUGGGAUAAAGCUGAAAAGAUCCGAGAUAUUCAACAGUAUCUUUGUAGAAAAAUCCAACAACAAAGAUGAAUUUUCAUUGCUACAGCGAUCCUCCCUGCGACGGAAAGCUAAGAUGGCCAGAGUUGGUGGGUGCAACAAUAGCCAAAGCAAAAGCAAAAAUCCUGAAAGACCAUCCAGAUCCCAGCCUCAAAUUUUUCAUCGUGCGGCCAAAUAUGGUAGCCCGCGGUGACUACUGCUGCAACCGAGUUCAACUCUCUGUCAACUGGUCUGGAAUUGUUGUUAGUGAACCCAUUAUCGGGUGAUGAGCUAUCACUUUCCUUAAACCUUUACAGUUACAGAAACUGCACCUGGAGAACAGAGAUAUAUGAUGCAGGUUGUUGUACUGUAGAGCAAGGAAAUCCUAUGUUUUACUUCAUUUGCAGGAGAAUAAUUACAACAUGAACAACUAAAUGAGUCUUCUUAAAUUUUAUUCUUUCAUGAACAUGAUUACAACAUUCAAGUAUUCCAUUCUAUAGAUCUUGCAUGUACAGCGGUAAGGAAGAAAAAAAAAAUUGGGAAUUCAUAAACAGAACUGAUACAUGCAAAAUGAUCACAUUACAAGCUGUUUCUC